rnacentral:rRNA from 1 species
GAGGAAUAUUGGUCAAUGGACGAGAGUCUGAACCAGCCAAGUAGCGUGAAGGAUGACUGCCCUAUGGGUUGUAAACUUCUUUUAUACGGGAAUAAAGUGAGGUACGUGUGCCUUUUUGUAUGUACCGUAUGAAUAAGGAUCGGCUAACUCCGUGCCAGCAGCCGCGGUAAUACGGAGGAUCCGAGCGUUAUCCGGAUUUAUUGGGUUUAAAGGGAGCGUAGGCGGACGCUUAAGUCAGUUGUGAAAGUUUGCGGCUCAACCGUAAAAUUGCAGUUGAUACUGGGUGUCUUGAGUACAGUAGAGGCAGGCGGAAUUCGUGGUGUAGCGGUGAAAUGCUUAGAUAUCACGAAGAACUCCGAUUGCGAAGGCAGCCUGCUGGACUGUAACUGACGCUGAUGCUCGAAAGUGUGGGUAUCAAACAGGAUUAGAUACCCUGGUAGUCCACACAGUAAACGAUGAAUACUCGCUGUUUGCGAUAUACAGUAAGCGGCCAAGCGAAAGCGUUAAGUAUUCCACCUGGGGAGUACGCCGGCAACGGUGAAACUCAAAGGAAUUGACGGGGGCCCGCACAAGCGGAGGAACAUGUGGUUUAAUUCGAUGAUACGCGAGGAACCUUACCCGGGCUUAAAUUGCAACUGACUGAACCGGAAACGGUUCUUUCUUCGGACAGUUGUGAAGGUGCUGCAUGGUUGUCGUCAGCUCGUGCCGUGAGGUGUCGGCUUAAGUGCCAUAACGAGCGCAACCCUUAUCGAUAGUUACUAGCAGGUCAUGCUGAGGACUCUAUUGAGACUGCCGUCGUAAGAUGUGAGGAAGGUGGGGAUGACGUCAAAUCAGCACGGCCCUUACGUCCGGGGCUACACACGUGUUACAAUGGGGGGUACAGAAGGCAGCUACACGGCGACGUGGUGCUAAUCCCGAAAGCCUCUCUCAGUUCGGAUUGGAGUCUGCAACCCGACUCCAUGAAGCUGGAUUCGCUAGUAAUCGCGCAUCAGCCACGGCGCGGUGAAUACGUUCCCG